GAUUUCAACUGAAAAAGUCAUCAAUAAUAAAGUUGUUUAACUCAUCAAAAUCUAUAAUUUUUAUUUCAGUCAUUUCUUCAUCCGAUAAAGUGAUUUGUAAGAUUGUUCACAAAAUGUACAUCUCUUAUAUAGUUGUAUAAAAACUAUAUAAGUGAUGUGCAUUUUGUGAAUAAUCUUCCAAGUGACUUUAUCGGAUGAAGAAAUGACCCAAAUAGAUGUUAUAUAUAUUUAUGAGUUAUAUAACUUUGUUAUUGAUGACUUUUUCAGAUGAUUUU
rnacentral:pre_miRNA from 1 species